rnacentral:rRNA from 1 species
CCUACGGGUGGCUGCAGUGGGGAAUAUUGCACAAUGGGCGCAAGCCUGAUGCAGCCAUGCCGCGUGUGUGAAGAAGGCCUUCGGGUUGUAAAGCACUUUCAGCGGGGAGGAAGGCGGUGAGGUUAAUAACCUCAUCGAUUGACGUUACCCGCAGAAGAAGCACCGGCUAACUCCGUGCCAGCAGCCGCGGUAAUACGGAGGGUGCAAGCGUUAAUCGGAAUUACUGGGCGUAAAGCGCACGCAGGCGGUCUGUCAAGUCGGAUGUGAAAUCCCCGGGCUCAACCUGGGAACUGUAUUCGAAACUGGCAGGCUAGAGUCUUGUAGAGGGGGGUAGAAUUCCAGGUGUAGCGGUGAAAUGCGUAGAGAUCUGGAGGAAUACCGGUGGCGAAGGCGGCCCCCUGGACAAAGACUGACGCUCGGGUGCGAAAGCGUGGGGAGCAAACAGGAUUAGAUACCCGAGUAGUC